UACGAAGGGGGGCUAGCGUUGCUCGGAAUUACUGGGCGUAAAGGGCGCGUAGGCGGAUAUCUAAGUUGGGGGUGAAAUCCCGGGGCUCAACCUCGGAAUUGCCUUCAAAACUGGGUAUCUUGAGUUCGGGAGAGGUGAGUGGAACUCCGAGUGUAGAGGUGAAAUUCGUAGAUAUUCGGAAGAACACCAGUGGCGAAGGCGACUCACUGGCCCGAUACUGACGCUGAGGCGCGAAAGCGUGGGGGGGCAAACAGGG
rnacentral:rRNA from 1 species